rnacentral:ncRNA from 1 species
GGCCGCAAAGGAGAUGGCAUUCCUCCUGUAAACCGCCACCAUACCGGCUAAUGAUGCCUACCUGUUC